CGGCUGCCUUCCGUGUCAGGUGUGAGCCUCUGCACCAUCUUCCUGGAGACUGGAGGCCGAGCACGGGGCCCGUUUCAGUGUGUCGAGACUCGGUUGGCUCUUGUACAACAGCACUACGCACGACGUGGCUUUCACGUUCCCUGGCACAUCCCAUAAAGUGGCCGUGACCUUAUCCUGUUCACCCAGAGUCUCAAAAACCAGGAAGUUCAGACCAUUCUUCUUUGGAACCCUGAGACAGACAGGAGAAGUGAGAACAAGGAGUGAGCAAAAGAGACAGGACCGGAGAGAGGAAAAAACGGACCCCAGGAAUGGAGCUGCAGGGACCCUGGAAAAAGGGGACACUAUCACGCCACUGCCGAGUUCUGUCAACUGUCAAGUUAAUUAGAACGAAAUUAAAAACACAUUUGCCAAGAUGUUCCGCAGCCAAACCAGUUAAAUAGAGAUUUUAACAAAAUUGAAAGCAUAUUAUACUGAGAUUUGUGGAUCCUGGCCCGGUGAGUGAGUGCUGAAAGUGUGAUAAAAUAACAAAAUUGCUGCCUAAUAAUCUAUAGAAUAAUAUUGUCAACUAAUGGAUUAUAAUAAAAUAAAAGCUGUUAUUAGGGUAAAACAUUAUAACAAAAAUCCAACUUUAUUUGCAGCACCUCCCCCUUAAUGGUUGUGAGCAUUUUGAAAGGUAAUUUAAACAAGUACAUUGUAUCCUUAUUGAAACUGCUUCAUCUCGCUGGCUGCUGAAAAUGGCUUUAACCAUCUCU